rnacentral:rRNA from 1 species
UACGUAGGGUCCGAGCGUUGUCCGGCGUUACUGGGCGUAAAGCGCGCGCAGGCGGCGGUGCUGGCCCGGCGUGAAAGCCCCCGGCUCAACCGGGGAGGGUCGUCGGGGACCACACCGCUUGAGGGCGGUAGGGGCUGGUGGAAUGCCUGGUGUAGUGGUGAAAUGCGUAGAGAUCAGGCGGAACACCCGUGGCGAAGGCGGCCAGCUGGGCCGUCCCUGACGCUGAGGCGCGAAGGCGUGGGGAGCGAACGGG